GGUGAGAUGGCCGAGCGGUCUAAGGCGCUAGACUCAAGUAUACUUGUGAGCUCAGCUCAUGGUUCUUCUAGUAUCGAAAGAUGCGGGGGUUCGAAUCCCCCUCUCAUCA
rnacentral:tRNA from 1 species